ACCGCGGCGCUGGGGGUUCCUCCCGGCGAGACUGGCGGGGCUGCGGCGGCUAGGAGAGUGGUGCGUAGGUGUUUCUGGGGGGGUCGUGGGCAGGAUGCAGGGCUCAGUAAAGUUUAGUGUCAGAACUUUGUUUGCGCUACCCCUAAUAUUUCCGUAGAGUAAUAGUUGUAUUAACUACUUUUCUUUUUUCUUCUGUCCUCCAUUUGUUUUGGGGGAGGGUGCGGAGGAAUAAGCCUGUGUCUAAGAUUGGCGCCUCUCUUCUCUAGCUGUUAACUCUGAGCAUUCCCUUUUGUAUAGGGUAUCGUGUUAAUUUUUACAUGCACCCAGAGCAGUCUGCCUUUUGGAAGAUACAUGGGAGACCCUACCGAAAGUAAUUACUUUUUUUUUACAGAGUGAAUAAAUUUGCGUGUCAUAAAGGCUGUAUAAUUGCUUUCGUGUCUAGAGUUCUAGAGUCUUUCGUAUUUCUCUUAUUGCAAUGAUUAACUUCAUCAAAUAAUGAGGAAUAUAAACAUAAGGUGCAUGGCUAUCAAGGAAACAGGGAAAGCAAAGAGAACAUGUAUCCUGCUUCCCUGUUGAGUAGAUAUUUACUCAGGUGUACCUUUCUUUUUUAUAUCUUUUUUAUAUCUUAUGAAUUGAAAAUAAAUCAUGGGACCCCCAAAUCACUAAGCUAAAGGGAAAAGUCAUACUGGGAACUGCUUAGGGAAUCCUGCCUCCCAUUCUAUUCAAAGUCACCCCUCUGCUCACUGAGAUAAAUGCAUGUCUGAUUGCCUCAUUUGGAGAGGCUCAUAAGAGAAUGCAACUGUCUGUUAUCUACCUAUGACUUGGAACUUCCUCCCCACUUGGAGUUGCCCCGCUUUUCCAGAUCAGACCAAUGUUUAUCUUACAUAUAUUGAUUGCUGCCCCAUGUCUCCCUAAAAUGUGUAAAACCAAGCUGUGCCCCAGCCACCUUGGGCGCAUGUUGUCAGGAUCUGUGCCAUGUCAUGGAUGCAAGUUCUUAACUUUGGCUAAAUAAACUUUCUGAGUUGAUUGUGACCUGUCUCAGAUAUUUGGAGUUCAUGUAUCUCACUCUUUACUAUUUAAAAAAUAUUAUUCCAGUUAGAAAGAAUGAAUAAUAUCAAGUAUUUGAUAGCACAGCAGGGUGACUAGUUGUCAGAGGCGUUUGAACUAGAGCAACUCCAUCUUGAAUAGGGGCUGGGUAAAAUAAGGCUGAAACCUACUGGGCUGCAUUCCCAGGAGGUUAGUCACAGAGUGAGAUAGAAGGUCCACAGGCAGGAAAAACAAGUCAUAAAGACCUUGCCGAUAAAACAGGUUGCAGUAGUGAAGCCAACCAAAACCCACCAGAAACCAAGAUGAUGAAUACAGUGACCUCUGGUCGUCUUCACUGCUCAUUAUAUGCUAAUUAUAAUUCAUUAUCAUGUUAAAAGACACCCCCACCAGUGCCAUGACAGUGUACAGAUGCCAUGGCAACGUCUGGAAGUUACCUUAUAUGGGUCUAAAAUGGGGAGGAACUCUCAGCCCUGGGAAUUGCCUACACCUUUCCUUGGAAAACUUGUGAAUAAUCCACCCCUUGUUUAGCUGUAAUCAAGAAAUAACUAUAGGUAUCCUUAGGCCAGCAGCUCAAGCCGUUGCUCUGCCUAUGGAAUAGCCAUUUUUUUUUUCCUUUGCUUUCUUUAUAAACUUGCUUCACUUUAUGGAUUUGCUUUCAAUUCUUUCUUGUAUGAAAUCCAAAAACCUUCUCUUGGGGUCUGGAUUGGGACACCUUUCCGGAAGUACAGUCAAUAAUAAUUCAAUUGUACAUUUUAAAAAACAAAGUACAAGUGGAUUGUUUGUAACACAAAGGAAAUGCUUGAGGUAAUGGAUACCACAUUUACCCUGAUGUGAUAAUUACAUGCUGUAUGCCUGCAUCAAAAUAUUUCAUGUACUCCAUAAAUAUAUACACCUACUAUGUACCUACAAAAAUUAAAAACUAAAAAAUAAAAAUAUUCCUUUUAAUCAUAUAUUGAUAGAGUUGGUAAAGGGGAGCUAUUUCAAUUUCUUUUCCAUCUAAGUACAUUACUGUGGGCAACUCAAAUCCAAUGCCAUAAACGUAAUUGUCUAUUAAAUUCCCCAGCUUUAUUUAAAAGACAGGAACUCAGUCAUAAAACCUUCCACUAAGUACUGCUAGAAAAUGACAAUGGCUACCUGAUUAUGGACCAAGAGGGAAAACACCAGAAGUCAAAGAGGUAGUUUGGAAGGUGGUAGGUAGUGUGGUUCCAGAGAGCAUCAAGCUUCAAAACAAGCAGAAACAUUCAUUCCUAAAACACAUAUUUAUUAAUUCUCUAUCAGAUGCCAUGGAGCACAGUGGUGGAUAAGGAAGACAUGGUCUGGCCGUAACAAUUUUGAAAUCUAAUGAAGCAGAUUAAAAAGAUAAGUACUUACAAUAAAAGUGUGGAAAUUCUAACAAUAGGGGAAGUAUAGGGCAGUAUGUGAUCACUUGGCAGCCAAACUUCUUGCUUCCUAUGUAAGACUCUCACAGUCAGACUGGAGCUGCACAUCUCUGCCGCUGCACAACACAUGGAGAAUAGUCUGCUGUAUCCUAGCCUUGCCAAGCCCUUUCAGGACCCCAUGUCUUUACUGGAUUGCCUGUCCACUUCCCCACGCCCCCGACCCUCAUCCCCGCAUAUUAUUUUGUAACAUAUUUCUUCAUGGUAUCCCAGCUUUAAAGUCUUCAAUGAAACCUUUUAAACUCCUACAGUUAUUGUAUAUGUUGUGUUUCCACAUUUCUUUAUUUAGAUGCCUCUAAUAGCAAGAAAAGUUAUAUUGUAGUUUAUUAACUUAUUUACUGCAUCUCUCAAUAUCCUGAGCUCCUAAAGGAACUCCUGAAAGUUCCUCAGCACUUAGCGUGACAACUAGUACAUAGUACCUGCUGUAUUCUAUAAAUGUCCUUUAUGUGAGUAAGUCAGUGUAAAUGUUUUGGUGCAGCAUUAUACUUUGGUAAAAUAGUACUAUGUUAAUAUUACUAACAUUUACAUUUAUUCCUAAGAAAGGAAACCAUAAGAAUAAUUCAUGGUUAUAUUUUCUAGAGACUAGGCUUGUUUCGUCCAGUAUGGUACUCAAUAGCCAUAUAAAGCUAUUUACAUUUAAAUUAAUUAAGAUUAAAUACAAUUGAUAAUGUGGUCCUUCAGUUGCACUAGCCACAUUUCAGAUUCUCAGUAGUCACAUGUGCCUCAUGGCUAUCAUAUGGGAUAGUUUAGAAAAACAUCUUCGUCUUCACAGAAAGUUUUAUUGUACAGCUCUGGUCUAGACCUUUGAUGGGAUGCACAUUUGUUCAGACUCUGAGAUCAUAUAACUUAAAUAUCUCCACCUAGCAACCAUAUACUCUAACUACAUUUUCAGUUAUUUUGAAUGGGUAAUAAGCAUUUGAAUGGAGGAUAUUUCAGUGUUGGCUGAUAUCUGAUAUUAAGUAGAGCUUUAAUCAAUACAGUGCAUGCCUAGAAUAAUGGUAAGAAUCCCAAGUGGCUAUUUAAUAACAGAUGAGAGAUUCUUUUGAAGAGCAAGCUUUGUGUAGACUUGGGAAAUAGAAUUUCCAUUCUCUACAAAAUAUUGUAAUAGUUGUGUUUGUGUCUACAAACUUAAGUUGAAUUUUGAUAUGUAGAUGAUGGGGGAGGAUUGAUGGUGUCUUCAGCUGCACUCUGUACAUGAUUUGUGACACUAUCCUUAGACUCACUUUAAAAUAUGAAGGGCAAUAAAAUAUUGCCACAUUUAUAAUUUGAAUUGAUGGCUACCCUGAUAGCAUAUCAAGUGUGAUCUGGUAAAGUUCCUCCAUGAUAAAUUUUAAAAAAAUAAAAUUUGAAGCAUUUUUUCCUUGUCUGUCAAGAAAAUACAACUGUAAACUUUGAAAUACUUUUCCUGGUUCAACUAGGAAAAUAAAACUAAGUAACUACAAUUGGGUAUUGUCAAGCAAAUCAGUAUUCACUGUUUGUCACAUAGGGAAAUUACCAAGACAUAGUGUUAAUUGUGUCACUGACAUUAUCCUAUUGUAAUGAAGGAUUUAAAAAUUAUUUUAAUCCCAUAAUCAAAAAUGGUAGUGAACAUCCAAACAUAGCAAAUAUUAGUGCCUUAGGAAAACACUAUGAUUCAUGAGUAGAAGGAGAGGAAAAAGACCACUGAAAAAGAGGAAAGUAAUUAGAGCAGCAAAAAAUUAUAGACGAAGGAUAGUUAACAAUAACUCUACAGAGUUAAGGACAAGGAAAAUAAUGCAGAACCACUGGCUAUUACAGCAAAAAGGCUAUGCCUUUUACUUUAUUUAUUUAUUUAUUUAUUUUUAAAAAUAGAGAUGAGAUCUUGCUCUGUUGCCCAGGCUGGUUUCAAACUCCUGGCCUCAAGUGAUUCUCCCACCUUGGCCUCCUUAAGUUCUGAUUUUACAGGUGUGAGCCAUCGUGCCCAGCCAGGCUGUGACUUUUAACAGGGGAUUGUUUCUUUUUUUCCUGCCAUGGUUGCAAUAGAAGUCAGAUUGUAAGAGCAUAAAGAAGCCAUAUUAGUGUGGAGACAAAAGUGACUCCACCUUAAAUGCUAAUCUGCUAUAAUGAUUUUUGAGUAUCCUCAGUCCCAUGAAUGCCUCCUGAUUCCUACUUUAUUUACUGUCCCUAGAGAAAGAACAUGUCAAUCUUGAUGUUAUCCCACAGUUUACAGACUAUGAUGAAUAUAUAGCAUUGUUGCCUGUUCUGGAGGAUUGCCUUUAAUUAUCUUGCAUAGAGAGCACUUAUACCCUUUCACUGUAGUAUAUAAGCUCUGGGUUGGGAGGUAACAGGUUUAGAGAUCUACCUGUCUUGCUGCUGCCCAAGACCACACUUCCGUCUGUAAGUUACCUCCAUCACUGACAAACUGGAUUUUUCUACCUCAUUCUUUGAUUUCUCAGCUCCUCUGGCAUUUGGGGGGAACUUUGCAUAUAUGGUGGCCCUUUCACAGAACAGUCAGCAUUCUCCAGAGUAACAGAGAGAUUAUAGUAAUUGGCCCAUGUGAUUAUGGAGGCUGAGAAGUCCCAUGAUCUGCAAGCUGGAGAACCAUAGAAGUUGGUGGUGUAGUUCAGUCUGAGUUUGAAGGUCUGUGAACCAGGAGUGCUGAUGUCCGAGAGGAGGAGAAGAUGGCUGUUCAGCUCAAGCAGAAAGCUAAUUCACUGUUCUCUGCCUCUUUGUUUCAUUCAAGCCCUCAAGGGAUGGUAUAAUGCCUACCCAAAUGGGUGAGAGCGUCUUUUUUACUCAGUCUACCAAUUCAGAUACAAGUCUCUUCUGUAAACACCUUCACAGACAUACCCAGAAAUAAUGUUUUACCAGAUAUUUGGGCAUCCUUUAGCCCAGUCAAACUGACACAUAAAAUUAACUGUCAUAGAAGGACUACCUCGUUAGCAACUAAGAACAAUGGGACUUAGAACAAAGACCUCAUCAGGUAUUAAAUUGGAAGAAGAUACAUUAAUGAAAAGAAAUGUUAUGGUACUGUUGAAGAUGGAGGCAGCAAGACCCUCCGAGGCUAUAGAAAAAAUAGCGUAAUAAACCCAGAAAGGCUCUUCAAGAUAUCUAUGUUAGUGUUCUACCUAACACAGCAAUAAUUUCUUUGCAAAGCCCCUGGCAGAUUAUUUAGUUUUGCUUGGAUCCUUAAGGUGAUGAAGUGUUCCCUUUUUAGCAAGGUAAAUGAAUCUGUUUUUGGACAGAUGUAACUCUUAGAAAUUUCUUCCUUGUACUGCUAAAGCAAGGUCUGUUUCCCUGUAGCUUCCAUAUGGUUUCCUUAAGUGAUAAACAGACUGACUGUAAUAUAUCUUUCCUAUGACAGCCCUCCAAAUAUCUGAAGUAUGUCCCUCCUGUUUUCUUUUUUUAAGUUAAGCAUCCCAGAUACUUCAAUUUAUAUCUCCUCACAAGAUUGCCAGACCUCUUAAUAUUUUGGCUGCCCAAUCAGAAUAAAGUUGUUGAACUCUAGUUUGCCAGUGUCAAUUUUAAAAAGUAAUGUCCAGAAGGAAUUUUGUAUUUUGCAUGUAGUCUGACUGGAACAGAUAAGAGACAGUGAAAUUAAUUUUGUUAGAUAUUUUACACUUGUUAAUUGGACUCUUGGCCUAAACUGAACUGUAAUGAAUGUACCUGUCUGGUAUUUAUCUAAAUUGCCAUCAAACCAGGUUUAGUCUAUUCUGUAGCUGAAAAAAUUAAUUUUAUUUGAUAAAUUUUACCUUGUUCGUUUUGAUCCAUUCAUUCAUUUAUUCAUUCAUUGUUUCAACAAAUACUUUUUGAGGUCAGCAUUGUGGCAGUCUUCGUUAUGCCCUGAGAUUACCAGAAAGUACAGGUUAUUCCAAUUAGUUGAACAACUUGAGAUCAUUUUAAAAUGUAAAUCUAAUAUUCAACAUUGUUAUUUUUACAUCACCUGUCAUCUAUAAAUUUCAUAAACAUGAUUGUAUCUUUAUUCAGUUAAUAACAAGAUUAAAAAAUCAAGGACAUAUUGUGAUAAGCUGGUGAUUUUGAAUCAUCAGGAUUCUAGAUUUAAAAGUUUUUGGAGACAGAACAUUUAACGGUGUGAUUUAUUUAUUUUAUAGAAGAGAGUUAAUAUAUAACUUAGAGUUUGAUUGUCUUAAAUACCGUAUUUCUCUUUUUGUCCCAGGGGAAGAUCACAGAAUGCUGCCUUGCUUGUGGAAUUAUAGAAUUCAAAUCUAUCAGUUUUAUAGGGAGUAAUUUUUCAAGACUUACUCUUAAGGAAUUCAUACUGAUUCCUAAUAAUCAUCAUUUUCUUAAUCUAAAUCCUACAAAGCCAUUCAUUUAAUCAUUUGUUUUAGAAUGUUUCCUGCUUUCCUGUAUGUUUCUUUUUCUUCUUACUUUAAAGCAAGGUUUAAACAUCCCUUUUGAUAUUUUUAGGUUUUGUCGGGGUGUAGGGAGCAAGGUUAUUCUCACUGUGACCUUUGCCCUGCAGCAGUAAAGCAAUAACUAGCAUCAUUUCUGCUUUGUAUUGUUUUAUCAUUUCUACAUCAUGUUUGUAGGCUGACGAAUGAAGUCAAAUGCUUAUAAAUGCUUUGUAAACUAUAAAAUUCUCCAUUUAUAUAUAUUUCUGCCCCACUUAUUUCUCAUUAAUGUUACUUGUGAUUAUAUUGUCAGAAUUCCUUAGAGCCACAUUUUUGUGAAUAUUGUGCUGCAAAUAUAUUUAUUUGUUUGUAAGCACUAAGUAUUCUUUUGUUCCCAAGAAAACAAAUUCUAUAUGAGUCUUUUCUGGUUCUGUUUUUCUUUUGUUUCAAUCUCUUCACAAUAUUGUAUUUAGAGCCAGAUUUAUCAGCCCCAGGCAUCUCUUGCUUUCCUGUGUCUACUUCUUCACAGUAUAACUCUCAGGCAAAAUGACAAAAAGGCAAAUUCACAAAGGAACCAGUGAGUGUUCUUGUCAGUGCUUGGGUUCCAUUCUCAAAUAAGCUGAAAGUUCUUCUAUUUCAUCAACAGAAUGUGAUUUAAAGGGAUAUAUUGCCAGCUUGUAUCACUGCUAAACAGUGGUGUGUCACUGUAGAGCAAAUAGUCACAAGAAUACAUUCUCAGGAAAUAUACAGUUAUAUCUAUGCUUUCUGCCAAGCAAGGAGAAACGCAGACUGGCUCAAAUCUCCAGAAACGACUUGCAUCCUUCUUUAUUUCUUACACCUUUUCUUUUCUUCAUCUCCUAUUUCUUCUUUCCCCAUGUCCUCCUCCUGCUUUCACAAUUUCCUUCUCCUCCUUAUUCUCCUUCUCUUUCACCUCCCCGUCUUCUUCCUUACGCGUUGAUUAUGCCAGUAAGAUGAUAUCUUGUAAAGAAAUGGAAUACUUUUAGCAGAUGCCACACUAUAGCCACAGUAGUGACAUCUGGAAUUUGUCAAAAGCCACAGUUGGCAUCCCUAAAAUUCACCUGCCUGGAUUCUGUUCUGAGAAGAUUGUGUCUGCAAGAAAGUCUGGCCAAGUUCCUAAAAGAGGCAAAAUCAAGGAUAGAUGGCAUCUAUCCUAGUUCACGUGAAGGUUAAAAGCGUCUUCAGGUACUUAGAUACAUAGAUAUACAGGCUCUGUUAUUACAAACUUUCAAGGCAAUUCUUAUGUUCUUAUGUAUUUAUUUGCUUUUUGAAUCACAAAAUUUAUGCUUAUAUUUUAAGCAGAUGGAGUUUGUUUAUGAAGAAGUGAUUAUUGCUGAUACUCAUUAUUACACAUCAGAGUAGUUAUAUUUCUAUGUAAUUUUUUGCAUGGAGUAGGCAUUUGUGGUCUUGCUCUACAUCUGUUUGAUCAUAGCAAUUCCAGUUGAUUUCACAGGGUCAGCAAAUACACAGCACAUAAGCUAACACUCUUCCUUCUUGUACCCACAGUAGACCACUAAUCAAUUAUGGCGUUUGUCUUGCUAAGCCAGGAAACAGCUUCAGAAUCCUUCUCAAACAAUGUUUCAGACAGCUGCUAUUAAUAUGUCAGAGUUGGCACUUGAUGAGAAAUACAGUUGCCAUUCCAGAUUAAGGCCAACACCCCCCACCGCCCCAAAAAACAGCCUCAUAAAAAGACCUCUGAGCAGUGGCAUCAGAAAUCUAAGGGUCACUGAUGGAGUAUGACAGGAAUCUAAGACAGAGAGAGAUCCUAAUUUCCCAGGAGCCAGUAAUGCAGAGUGGAUAAUUCUGGUUUGGACUUAAGGUAGAUGUAGGAUGGAAGUAAAAAAGAAAACAUACAUUGGGACUGGGUCCUUAGAUCUAUAAAUUGUUUAUUUGGGUAGCCAUUACUCAGAUUUCUCUCAUUCUAUAGAGUGGUUUUUUAGAGUUUCACAGUGGUACCUAAUUGUGACAAUACGGGUCUUUCCUAUGAUUAGUGACCCAAUAGAAUAGUGAAAAGGAAAGUAUUUGUUUUUGUACAACAUAGAGGCAUGAGUGCCUUCUUUUAACCCAUUGAUUCCCACACUUUGAUCUUGAGAAACUUACUGUCUUAAACCUUCUGAAGACCUCCCAAAGGGCUUUUGUUUAUAUGGCUAUAACUUUCAAGAUUUAUCAUAUUUAAAUUAAAAUGGAAAAAUGUUAAAAUAGUUAUUGAAAAUGAAAAUAGUAAAUGCCUGUUUACUUAAAUAAUAUUUAAUCUCACAGAUCCCCUGAAAGAUUUUGGAGAAUUUCCUGAUUGGCACUUUGAAAACUGCUGCUGUAACCAAUUCUGUGAUGACUGCUGACUUGAUGUAAGGUGAAUGCAGAAAGUCUCCUGCUAGGACUCUCCCUGGCAUUGCCUCAUUCACAAAAAAUUUCAGACACUAUAUAUAUCAAUUCAGAUAAUUCAUUCAGUUAAAUGUUUAUUAAAUAUAUUUUCAAAUUGUUU
rnacentral:lncRNA from 1 species